CGGAAGUAGUGAUAUGGAGCGAAACCCAAAAAGANACCCCCACGUUCGGAUUGCAGGCUGAAAUUCGCCUGCAUGAAGCCGGAAUUGCUAGUAAUGGCAGGUCAGCAUACUGCCGUGAAUACGUUCCCGGGCCUUGUACACACCGCCCGUCACACCAUGAGAGUUGGGGAUACCCGAAGCCUGUGAGCCAACAGUUAAAUGAGGCAGCAGUCGAAGGUAGAAUCAAUGAUUGGGGUGAAGUCGUAACAAGGUACC
rnacentral:rRNA from 1 species